rnacentral:rRNA from 1 species
GAUGAACGCUGGCGGCGUGCCUAACACAUGCAAGUCGAACGGACUUACAUUGAAGCCUAGCGAUAUGUAAGUUAGUGGCGGACGGGUGAGUAACGCGUGGGUAACCUGCCUUGUACUGGGGGACAACAGUUGGAAACGACUGCUAAUACCGCAUAAGCGCACAGUACCGCAUGGUACAGUGUGAAAAACUCCGGUGGUAUAAGAUGGACCCGCGUCUGAUUAGCUGGUUGGUGAGGUAACGGCCCACCAAGGCGACGAUCAGUAGCCGACCUGAGAGGGUGACCGGCCACAUUGGGACUGAGACACGGCCCAAACUCCUACGGGAGGCAGCAGUGGGGAAUAUUGCACAAUGGGGGGAAACCCUGAUGCAGCGACGCCGCGUGAGCGAAGAAGUAUUUCGGUAUGUAAAGCUCUAUCAGCAGGGAAGAAAAAAAUGAACGGUACCUGACUAAGAAGCCCCGGCUAACUACGUG